GCUAAUGUAGUGCAAACGUUAGCACGUCCGCCUGUAACGCUGAACGCCUGGGUUCGAAUCCUUGCUAUACCA
rnacentral:tRNA from 1 species